AUUGAACGCUGGCGGCAGGCCUAACACAUGCAAGUCGAACGAGUGGCGGACGGGUGAAUAAUGUCUGGGAAACUGCCCGAUGGAGGGGGAUAACUACUGGAAACGGUAGCUAAUACCGCAUACCAGCGGAUGUGCCCAGAUGGGAUUAGCUAGUAGGUGGGGUAACGGCUCACCUAGGCGACGAUCCCUAUCUGGUCUGAGAGGAUGACCAGCCACACUGGAACUGGGACACGGUCCAGACUCCUACGGGAGGCAGCAGUGGGGAAGAUUGCACAAUGGGCGCAAGCCUGAUGCAGCCAUGCCGCGUGUAUGAAGAAGGCCUUCGGGUUGUAAAGUUCUUUCAGCGAGGAGGCGUUACUCGCAGAAGAAGCACCGGCUAACUCCGGGCCAGCAGCCGCGGUAAUAC
rnacentral:rRNA from 1 species